rnacentral:rRNA from 1 species
ACGCUCGACACCUACGGGGGCAGCAGUGGGGAAUAUUGCACAAUGGAGGAAACUCUGAUGCAGCGAUGCCGCGUGAGGGAAGAAGGUUUUCGGAUUGUAAACCUCUGUCUUUGGGGACGAUAAUGACGGUACCCAAGGAGGAAGCUCCGGCUAACUACGUGCCAGCAGCCGCGGUAAUCUGAGCGGGCUGGCAAGGC